rnacentral:misc_RNA from 1 species
CUCUCUCUCUCUGUCUCUCUCACCUUUAAUGAAGAACUAGAUUUUUUUUUUUGAGAAAGUUGAAAAUUUAGUAGAACGCAUAAUUAAAGAUACAGAAUGCUUGGGAAUGGAGUUGUUGGAAUCCUCUCAGAGUCUUUCAACAAGUGGGAAAGAAGGGUGCCUCUGACCCCAUCACAAUGUGCACGGCUUCUUCACGGUGGCAGGGAUAGGACUGGGGUGGCUCGCAUAAUUGUGCAGCCAUCCACCAAGCGAAUCCAUCAUGAUGCAAUGUACGAGGAUGUUGGCUGUGAAAUAUCAGAGGACUUGUCUGAGUGUGGCCUCAUUCUGGGCAUCAAAAAACCAAAGCUGGAGAUGAUUCUUCCUGAUAGAGCGUAUGCCUUCUUUUCCCAUACUCACAAGGCACAAAAAGAAAACAUGCCUUUACUUGAUAAGAUCCUGGCUGAAAGGGUGUCGUUGUAUGACUAUGAACUUAUCCCUGGGGACCAUGAGAAAAGGUUGCUGGCUUUUGGGAAAUAUGCUGGCAUAGCAGGACUUGUUGAUUUAUUGCAUGGGUUGGGACAGCGGUAUCUGAGCCUUGGGUAUUCUACACCAUUCCUCUCAUUGGGUUCAUCUUACAUGUAUUCUUCAUUGGCUGCUGCCAAAGCUGCCGUAAUUUCUGUAGCUGAAGAGAUAUCAACCCUGGGAUUGCCAUCAGCAAUCUGCCCAUUAGUUUUCAUAUUCAUUUCUUCAGGAAAGGCUUCACAAGGUGCACAAGAAAUUUUUAAGCUUCUGCCUCAUACUUUUGUCGAUCCAAGCAGACUUCCGGAACUAUUUGCACAAGCCAAGGAUGACAGCCCACCUUCAAGGACAUCAAAGAGAGUAUACCAACUAUAUGGUUGUGUUGUGACUAGUCAAGACAUGUUCAAACACAUGGAUCCUUCCAAAACAUUUGAUAAAGCUGACUAUUAUGCACAUCCAGAAUAUUACAAACCUGUCUUCCAUGAAAAGAUAGCCCCAUAUGCAUCUAUCAUCGUGAAUUGCAUGUACUGGGAGAAAAGAUUUCCUCGGUUGUUGAGUAAUCAGCAGCUUCAAGAUCUAACAAGGAAAGGGUGCCCACUUGUUGGAAUUGUUGAUUUAACUUGUGAUAUUGGAGGCUCUAUAGAGUUUAUUAACCAAACCACAUCAAUUGAUAGUCCAUUCUUCAGGUACGAUCCUUUAAAAGAUUCAUACCAUCAUGACAUGGACGGUAAUGGUGUGAUUUGUUCUUCUGUUGAUAUUCUUCCUACACAAUUUGCGAAGGAGGCUUCUCAACAUUUUGGAGACAUACUAUCCCAGUUUAUUGGCAGUCUGGCUUCUACAACUGACAUUAUCAAGCUACCUUCACAUCUAAGGAGAGCGUGCAUAGCCCAUGGAGGGGAAAUUACUCCAUUGUUUGAAUAUAUUCCGCGCAUGCGAAACUCUGAUACAGAAGAUAUGCCUGAAAAUUCUGCAAAUUCACACUCUAGCAAGAAGAAAUUCAACAUAUUGGUAUCUCUGAGUGGACACCUAUUUGAUCAGUUUUUAAUAAAUGAGGCUUUGGAUAUUAUUGAAAAUGCUGGUGGUUCUUUUCACUCGGUUAAGUGUCAAGUGGGUCAAAGUGCUAACGCUACCUCAUACUCAGAGCUUGAAGUUGGUGCAGAUGAUAGGGAAGUUCUGGAUCAAAUUAUUGAUUCUUUAACUUCUCUUGCUAAUUUAGAUGAGAAUCAAGGAGUUUUAGAUAAAGAAGCAAAUAAAAUUUCCUUGAAGAUUGGUAAAGUCCAAGAGAGUGGCAUUAAGAAGGGCUGUGAUAGAAAAUGGAAGGCUGCAGUUCUGAUUAUCGGUGCAGGUCGCGUCUGUCAACCAGCUGCUGAGUUCUUAGCAUCAAUCGGAAACAUUUCAUCUCAUGAGUGGUAUAAAGCUUGCCUAGAUACUGAAUUUGAAGAGGAGAACGGUGUCCAAGUAAUUGUUUCAUCUCUCUACCUGAAGGACGCUGAAGAGAUUAUCGAUGGAAUUCCCAAUGCAACAGCAGUUCAACUUGAUGUGAUGGAUCAUGAAAGUCUUUGCAAGUAUAUUUCACAGGUUGAGGUUGUUGUCAGCUUACUUCCCCCUAGUUGCCACAUUAUCAUAGCAGAUGCAUGCAUCAAGCUUAAAAAGCAUCUCGUCACCGCUAGCUAUGUUGAUGAUUCCAUGUCAGCACUAGAUGAUAGGGCAAAAGCAGCUGAUAUUACAAUUCUUGGUGAGAUGGGUUUGGACCCUGGAAUAGAUCACAUGCUGGCAAUGAAGAUGAUCAACCAGGCACAUGUUCGGAAAGGCAUAAUAAAGUCUUUUACUUCUUACUGUGGGGCACUUCCAUCUCCUGCCGCUGCGAAUAAUCCGCUAGCAUAUAAGUUCAGUUGGAGUCCUGCUGGAGCCAUCCGAAGUGGGCGCAAUCCUGCCAUCUAUAAAUCUCAUGGUGAAAUUGUAAAUGUUGAUGGUAAGCUGUCUGCGUUCAGGAAAAGUGGCAAAUCCAAAUGACACAGUUUGCUGUUUCCUACUAUAUUCCAACACAUGAUUUUUGGCUCUUUGCACAUAUCUCAAAAGCUUUGCUUUAUCUUAUAGCCUGAAUUCUAGAUUAUUUUUUACACUUUCAUAAUGCGUUUUUACAUUGAUCUCAAAUGAUGCUGAUGUGUUAUGGCUGCUAUCAUGUUACAAGGAAAUAUUGAUAAGGAUUUUAAAAAUAUGCCUUGACUGUUGUUGCUUUGUGAUUUCUGCUUCACUUUAUGGUACAAAUUGCAGGUGAUAGUCUUUAUGAUUCAGCUGUCAAAGUUCGGAUACCUGAUCUUCCAGCUUUUGCAUUAGAAUGUCUUCCAAAUCGUAACUCUUUGGUUUAUGGCAAAGUUUAUGGAAUACAAGAUGAGGCAUCAACCAUCUUUCGUGGAACCCUCCGUUAUGAAGGGUUUGGGGAAAUAAUGGGCACACUUGCAAGAAUUGGUCUCUUUAAUACUGAAUCUCAUCCAGUUCUUAGAUGUGAACAAAGACCGACAUUCAAAACAUUCCUUUGUGAACUACUCAAAUUUGAUGGUCAAAAUCUGGAUGGAGUUCUGUUAGGAGAACAGGAGAUAACUGAAAAGAUUGUCACACUUGGACAUUGCAAGGAAAAGGGGACUGCAGUAAAAGCAGCCAAAACUAUAAUAUUUUUGGGAUUUCAUGAAGAGACAGAAAUCCCUGCCUCCUGCCAAAGUGCAUUCGAUGUUACCUGUUUCCGUAUGGAAGAAAGGUUGGUGUAUUCCAGUGCAGAACAGGAUAUGGUGCUCUUGCAUCAUGAAAUUGAGGUAGAAUUCCCUGAUGGCCAACAUCAUGAGUAUCAUAGAGGCACUUUAUUGGAAUUUGGGACAACAAAGAAUGGGAAAACUAUUACAUCAAUGGCUCUCACCGUUGGUAUUCCAGCAGCCAUUGGUGCUCUGCUCUUACUAGAGAACAAGAUCAAGACAAGGGGUGUUCUAAGGCCUAUUGAACCUGAAGUAUAUGUGCCAGCCCUGGAUAUUUUACAAGCUCUUGGCAUUAAGUUGAUAGAGAAGAUCGAUUGACCUCGCGCUCAUUCUUUACGUAAAAAAUCUACAAGUCUCAAACGAUGACCAGUCCUCAAGCCUGGAACAGAUAAUUAAAGAGAUUGGGAAGCCGUUGGAUGUUGGCAUGAGCCAUGCAACACCUAUCUAUAUAUAUAAAUUUAUAUGUACCUGUGUUUUUUUUCCCUGUAUAGCUGUGGUUUGUUCAUUGUCCAUGUCUUAAGAUACAACGACUUUGUGAAUAAUGGAAUGGUGAGGCUUCUACUUUAAUAGCAUUCCAUUGUUACACAUUAUUCCAAUAAAAAUGAGGCGAGAUUUGUAAACUCGUCAUCUGUGGGUGUACAAAUUGUCAACCAGUUAAAAUUGCUAAUCGGUAAAUUAUUAAAUACGUUCGGUACACCAUUUUUA